AUCAUUACUUCAGGAAGUCAUUAACUGUGCGCUGUUACUUACAAGGCUGAAAUAGUGUUGCUGCAGACACCGCACACGGUCUGUGCACAGACGCCAGACGGCAAAUCAACCAAGACCAAUCAUAAAUCAUCAGAAUGGUUCUCAUCUCACACUCUGAUUGUGGUUUGCCAUGAUCAGUUGUUCCUCUGUGUUCCAGCAGCACAGAGUACAGAACCCUGAAGACUUAAUAAUAAUGAACAUUCCACUGAACCAGGUAAACUUAAAGGGAGAAUGGAAACCGGAGUCACAGUGUGUGAAGGGGAGUUCACCCACAGUACCCAGUAAAUCAUCUGACCAGGAGAUCCAGCCUGAAAAACCGACUAUGAGAUUCAAGAGCAAAUCUGUGAAUGGAGCCCCACUUCAAGCAGUUCUACGCUCCGAACUGGACAGUCACGUUCUACAUCCUGCAGAAAUGGGCACUUCCCACAUUUGAACGUUUUGCUUUCCAAAACAAGAGGCAACCUGCGGUGAUGCCUAUCACUCACACUGUCCAGAGGAAGCACAUCCAAUUGGCUGUUCCAUCAGUGAGUGCUUCGAAGGCAAAAUAAAAAUGGUUUCCCCCAUCCCAGUCAUCACAGGAACACAGCUGUGAUGACUCCUUUUAGCUGGUAUUUUGCCCCAGACCAGGGGAUUUCAAAAUAAGGCUAUAUUCCUGCAAAACAAAAAGAUCUAAAGCUAUUUCUGGAAGUUUGAAAUUAAUUGAAGGAAGAAUUUGCAUUUAUAUAUAAUCCAUCACAAUAUAACAAGUCCCAAAACAUCUUGUAUCUAAUAAGUACUUUUGAAGUGUAAUCAUUUUUGGAAACGUAGUGAUCAAUUUGGGCCCACAAGCAGGAGAAUUGGUCUCAUUCUAUCGUGAGCUAUUUUACAUUUCAACCGAAAGGAACACAGGAGAGUCUGUUUUAAUCCAAAUGAUAGGACCUCCAGUCGUGCAACAUUUACGUCAUUGAGAUGUCAGCCUCAAUUACAUGCUUAAGCUCUGAAGCAGAGCUUGAACCCAGGGGAGUGCAAUGAAGAAACCGAUGAUUCAGUAGGUUGGAAUCCUGUUUAUCUGUCAGUGAGACUAGGAUUGCAAUUUGGUUGAGUCAUCCAGUAGGAAAUCUCCUACUUGAAUGUCCAAACAGUUCAAAGUGAAUUUUCCUUGCCUUUACAAAUCCAAAACUUUAAAAAAAAACCUCUUCUUGAAGGUUUUCAGAGGGAGGAAACAGUGCACUUAACACUCUAUGGUCACUUUUAAACAAAUUGUUACUGCUGUGAGGUAAUUAUAACCUUUUGACUAGCCCUUAAACUCAGGACACUGGAAAGUAAUCACAUUAAAGUGGGUAGUCAACCUUGUGACAAUAAUUGGUGAUGCCAACAGAUCACAUGUUUUACCGAGUCUUGUCAUGCAACACCAGCACUGCAGAGUACCUGUUUAAUUUAUAGCACUGACUGCAGAUACAACUCAACCGAAAUCUUACAAGAAUUGAAGCAAGGUAGACUUUUCUAAACUGCCUCGCCAAGGAAGUGAAAAACUUAGUGGCAAGUUUUAUUUUUCCUUCUACUGACAUGCUCACUGUUAACUGAGUGGUUGCACCAGGGAGCUUGCAGUCAGCUGACAGACGGACUCUCGCUCAGCUGACUGGGGAUAUUCAAACAGCUUGCCUCAGUGCGAGGUAAUUAGAGAGGACGCAAGCUGGCAAAUCAAAGCUCCACUAUAUGUCCACAGCAGCAAUGAUCUUUGGCCUCAGCAUUUACAUUUUUGAUGAACCCACAGGUUUUUGUUUGAUGGAACGACAGGUUGCAAUGUGCCGGCUAGUUAAGUAAUUCCAUAAAGCUACAACAAUCCCCACUGGCUUCAGAAAACUGCAAAAUCACUUCAAAGGGCAAGUUUGAAGUUAGGAUAUAACUUUAUAAGCAAAAAAAAAACAAACUGUUGGAAGAACAUUGGGUUGAGCAGCAAAGGAAUUGCCGACGUUUCAGCUCGAGACCCUACAUCAGAUCCCGCAUAACUUUGUCAACUUGAAAUCUACAAUAUAUUUGAAUGAUUGAAAUUUAUGUGUGUUGUUGCAAUUUCCUGUUGAAAGUAGUUUUGCAUUUAUUUCACAAAAUAAAAUGGUGUAAUACACUUUAAUUCCCAGCAGCAAAAGACUUUAUUCUAGCCACAUUUUUAAAGACUGCAAAUCUACAACAUUUUAGAAUAAAACAAUAUAGUCAGUUUAAAAUGUUUGUUCAAACAUUUGUUGUGAUAUAGACACUGAAGUCCUGAUUGACUCUGACAAAUGAGUAUACAAUACUGAGUAUGUAAAGGAGGUGACAGGGGUACCAUUGGGUGCCGGGUUGCCCAAACUGUCUGGACAUGAGGCAGAAAGCUAGAAGGAGCCCUGAGGGAAGGGAGUGCAGUCCAAGUGAACAUUAUCAACUCCAUACUAUGCAGAGGAGAAGUGAAGGACAGACACUCUACCUUCUCCAAUGGAAGUACGUAUUCACAGUAAAAAAAGAUUAGAAACUGGACAAAGUCAAUUACUGUAGCAAAAUGUGGCCUAAGACCUCAAGGUAUAAGAACAGAAUUAGGCCGCUUGGUCCUUCAGUAUAUUCAAUCAAUCAUGGCUGAUUUCUUUCCCCCCAAACCCAUUCUCUUGCCUUCUCCUCAUAACCCUUAACUUCCUUACCUAUCAAGUACCAACCAAUCUCUGCUUUACUUACACCCAGUGACUUCUCCUCCACAGCCGUCUGUGGUGAUGAAUCCACAGAUUCACCACCCUCCAGCUGAAGAAAUUCCACCUUAUCUCUGUUUUUAUUCUGGGGGUGUGCCCUUGGAUUCUAGACUCUGUUAUUAAUUCAAUAUUCAGGUUAGAGAUAGAGCACGGUAAAAGGUCCUGGCCCAAUUCAUCCGUGCUGCCCAAUUACGCCCAUAUGACCAAUUAACCUAAUAACCUGUACGUCUUUGGAAUGUGGGGGGAAACAAAAAGUACCCGGAGAAAAGACACACAGUCACAGAGGGAAAGUACAAACUCAGCGGCGGGAAUCAAAUCUCGGUCACUGGCACUGUAAGGCAAUGCGCUACCACUACACUACCGUUCCGUGGCUGGAAACAUCCUCUCCAUAUCCACUCUAUCUAGACCAUGCAGCGUGUUCACGUUGAACCCAAAUUUGGGACAGGAGAUCUAGCAGAAACUUUUUCAUGGGAGCAAUGUCAUGAGUCCAUCAGUGAGUCUGUACAACGGUAAUGUCCCCUCUUUCGGGGGACUUCCACGAGCCCCUGUAAAACGACUGCUUCUCUGCUGAUGGUGGGGAAAGACGUUGGAGAACGUGUAGGUUGGUUCUUUGCGGAAAAUGGUUUAUGUUCUUCUGCCUGUGUAUUCACAACAAAGUGCUCAAAUAUUAUAAAUAAGUUGUAUUUAUUCACUUGAUGAAUUCUACCUUUCCUGUGUGCAAUAAAACUUUGACUAAGCAAGCUGUGUGGAGCUUUAUUGGAAUAAAAGAGAAUUCUAUGCUGUG